CAGUCACUCGCUGCCUAGUGAUCCAUGGGUUUUAAAUUAUAACUGGGACCCAGGAAACGCGUUCCUAAGUACAAUAUUCAUGGGCUGGGCUGACACUUUUAAUUAAGGUGAUUUACACUGAAUUAUCCUUGGAAAUAAAGAAAUGGUGCACUGCCCGGGAAUAAACCAUCAUCACCAGCCGCCUUUAAACACUUUGAUUGGUGCCUCUUCUGAGCACGGGACAGGAAGAGUUAAUGUGCUGACAGACGGCAUUUUUUACCUUCAGUCAAUAUGAACAAGGCCCCAAGACUAUGAUUCCAAACAUCUGGAUUUCAUCAAUAUGUGAUCUGUCAUCGUAUAUUGGCAUUCCCCAGUCCCCGCGCCAGAGCAAUGCGGCUGGUUUUAUUAAUACGUCAAAUACAUUAUCCGUGUAAUACA